UUAGAUGGAGAUAAAAGGACCAGACGUUGUGUGCGUGCAUUACGGUGUCUGUAACCACACCCCUUCUCCUGUUGAGGUGCUUUCCUGAUUUGCCGGCCCUGUAUUCCUAGCCUUCCCUCUGACGCUCGCCUUCGGUAUGUCCUUGUCCCUGCAUGUUCAGUGAGGAACCGUACUUCGCCGCUGACCUCGUCGUUCCAGUUAUAACUGUUAAGCCUCAUCUGCUUAGCCAGUGAGACUCCGUGACCGUGCUGAAGGGCCUGAUCACAAAGGUGCUGCUGUUUUGUUUAGCAUGACAAUGCGUGUAUGAUCCAGCAUGCUCGUUACUCUGCCAAACUGUUGUUUUGCAUGUUGGUCUGACAUAUCUCUGAACUGGGUUUUCGUUUUCUUUGUCAUGUUCUUUUUGUCUGGGCAUUGUACCAUCUUGUUAACUCCAAUGGUGUAAUGCUUCUGUCUGGUGUGUUUUCUGUCUGCAUGUGACUGUGGAUAAGGCUGGUGGCGCUGUAGCUGUCCUGGUGCAUAUUUGUUCUG